UCCCUCAGUUUCUCUUCAUGUGGAUCUUUUCACAGCACUGCCUGAUGACAUGGAAGGUGACCUCCCCAAGGAAAGAGAGAGAGCAUCUAAUCUAAUCUGAGAAGUGAUAUCCCACCACUUGUGCCUAAUUUGAUUCAUUAGAAGUUGAUCAAUAAAUCCCACUCAAGAGCAGGAUGUGACAACCAAGAGAUGGUCUGAGAGUACCUGUGCUGAAAUGGAAUUGUCUUUGAGUGGACACUUCUUAGAUGAGACCUAUUGUGGCCAAUAGCUCCUGAGGAACUGAAGCCUUCAGUUCAAAACUUGUGUGAGAAAAAUGAAUCUUGCCAACUACUGGAGUGAGCUUAGAAAUGAAUCCAUCCCCAGUUGACCCUUGAAUGUAGCCUUGUCAGAGACCCAGAGACAAAGCAUCCUGCUAAUCUGCACUGGGUUCUAGGCCCACAGGAACCAUGGGAUAAUAACUUUGUGUUGCUAUAAGCCACUGAAAACAAACAAAUAAAAUACUUAAGAUGUUCCCCUGUGGAAGGGUUCCAUUGCCAGGGAUCUGCACUUCACAACCAAAGGGAUUAAAGAGAAUUGCCUUCUUCAGAUUUCAGACUGUGGCCUGCUUCUGGUUUUUCUUUCUAUAUUCAUAUAUAUGUUUGUUUAAAUCAUCCUACUUUUGGAGCAUGAAAAAUUACUAUUACAGUUUAUAGAAAGGGAAGAAAUCUGGUACAUGCUAAAGUUAUUCAUCUGUAACUACCUGACGAGCCCAAUUAGUUGCUUGCUCCUAUGGAUUCUGAGCCUAAAAUCCCUUCAACAGAUCUUUGACCUUUUCUCAGAUGUCACAGCUGAGGCCAGUGAUGUUACCUUCAUCCUCCUGCUAUCUUCUCUACAACUCUUGCAGGCUCAUCACCGCUCCAGAGUCUAGGGAAACUCACAAGUUAGGAGAAUUUAGGAAGAUACAGAUCUGAAACUCAAUGCUAAAGCACCCUUCUAAUAUAUGAGGAUAACAUUGCCUUUAGAGACUUAGAUUGACUGGUAUUUAAAAAUGAACAGUCACAAAUUUAUAUUUUUUAAUGAUUAAAGUUCUAAACACUCAGU
rnacentral:lncRNA from 1 species